rnacentral:rRNA from 1 species
UACGUAGGAUCCAAGCGUUAUCCGGAAUUACUGGGCGUAAAGCGUACGUAGGUGGAGAUUUAAGUGAGAUGCGAAAUCUGGCGGCUCAACCGUCUAGACUGUGUCUCAUACUGGGUUUCUUGAGGAUGGCAGAGGCAAGUGGAAUUUCCGGUGUAGCAGUGAAAUGCGUAGAGAUCGGAAGGAACACCAAUGGCGAAGGCAGCUUGCUGGGCCACACCUGACACUGAGGUACGAAAGCGUGGGGAGCGAACAGG